UUGCUGCGAGAGUUUCGUACAAUCGUAGCUGCGUACUUUACUCCGUUAUGUGUUCCUUUAUCCACUCUCUCAGAUCUCUAUUUUUUAGGGUUUUCUGCAGUUGUACAGUGCAGUACCUAAUGCAAUUUUCGAUUAUUUUUUUUUCUUCCCAUCAAUUGUUCGUCGACCUGGAAUGGAAGAUUUCAAGUUUCGUAUCAGAGGAGAUGAGAUCAAAUGGCCAAGCCUCAAGCAAAAACAAAGGAAAAUCCUCACUUGAAGAGAAACGAGAGCGGCCGUGGUUUUCGUUGAAGAAGAAUCGAAGUGUGUGUGAACCAGAGGGCCAUGGCAUAGCGGCAACAAUUUUAUGAAUCAGAUAAUGGCGGAAAACUGAAGUGGCCGCAGCGCUGAAAUAUUUUGACGUUUUAUAAAGUUAAUACAAUGUGCUAACACUAAUGUAUCUAUAUCGUCGACAAUUUGAAUUUGUGGCAGGCUAUAAGAAUCGAAGUGUCAAUGGAUCGAUUUCCUAGUGACGCUCGGCUACCAUCACAAAAUGGGAAGGGUGUCGCCGUUUGAAUUGACACGAAUGUAAUCGGCAAUGAACUUUUAGAGAAUGGAAGAAAUUCCAAAAUUUAAAUGUAGUGUACAAUCACCUUCUCAUUUUCACAGCCAUUUCGGACUUAUCAGUACAAUCAAAUGGAGCAAGAGGGCAAGAGAGGUUUCCCCUAAUGUUAAGAAAACACAAUCACUUCAUAAACUGUUACUUUUUAGUCAGAAGCUGCGGCUAUAUGGAACUAAUUUCUGCUACCUUAGAACCUGCUAGGUAGUUGCUAAGGAACUAGUUAAGUCAAGGAAGGCUGGGCCGAUCAUAAUUCAUUAUCAAUGCAUGAGGGAGAAAAUGUUAGUUCUGUGCAAGUUUUGCAGAGAAAUGGCUUGGUUGUUUCGAACCAAACAAUCGUUACUACAACUUGUCGAUACUAUGGGUACAGAUCGGAGAGGAAAGGAGAACCCUAACUAUAUUCUGUGCUUUGCGUGGGCUUAAAAGAAUCAUUAUUGGGCUCAAUGAACCGAAAAACUUAACAAAUAGGGCUUUACUAAUCGAAGACCAUAACAUCUGAAGCGUAAAAUGUCCGCGAUCGAGGUUGCCUAGUUGUCAAGCAAUCCGUUCUCCUAUAAAUUCAUUGCUGCCUACUUCAUCUUCUUUACUCUCUUGUGUGGUACGAGUUUCUUUCUAGUCGGGGCUGCUUCAUUUCCUCCGUUAUCGUGUUCCUCAACUCUCUAUUCUAUUCGAUUUUAGGGUUUUCUUCUUACUGCAUCUGUUUCUUACAUUACCAGAAUUUGAUGGGAAUUAGGCGACUUGGGCGGCCAUAAAUGAGAUGUUGCUGUUGAUGGAUCAAUCACAGGGAACGAAUUGGUAAGGGAAGCAACGAAAAAAACCUAACUUUAAAGCCCUAACCCUAACAUGAUCAUUAUUUUGGUGGUGGUGUUGCGGAUGGCACCAGUGGAAUGAAAGAUUGGCCCUAAGUUGGAUGACAUUCUGCUGAACUGAGAGACAGAGGAAGGCGACAAUCUUCAAUUUCAGAAGAAAUUCAAAUACACGAACCCUUGGGAAGUUUGAGGAUCGAAGGCAAGAAUUUCGAGGGUACAUUACUGCAAAUUGUUUUAGGUUGGCUUAGUUAUAAAUCCAGAGCUUCACUCUUAUUGCUUUACACUUCUUCACUGAACUUUGUCCAAUAGUAAGGCUCCAACUCGGUAACAAGUUUUGCUUUAGGUCAUUCGCUCUUCCACCGUAGGUUGUAUACUUCGUGCUGGAGAUCGAAAACCACAACUCACAAUAUUUCUUUACUUCUCUUUUCAAGAACUUCUAGCCCUAGAAGAUUAAGUAAUCAAAUAACAGUUGAUAAUAAUUUACUUUCCUCUCAUUUUUUGAGAAAAAUAUAGAUGCCAUCAUCGAAGAAAUUUUGUUUAUACAUUUUACCGUAUGCGGUUACUGUAAAAAAGGAUGGAAGUUGGAAUCGUGCCUUUUGGGGGUAAGUGGAUGGCUGAAAUCAUGCCUUAGAUAAUUGGAAGCAUCUAACCUUCGUGGACAUGUAUUAUCUUUGCACUUUGCAGGACCUGGCUUAGGGAGGCGGCCUCCCUUGCUGGUUGAAGCAGUUCAAUUGGUCAGAGCGCUACCUUGUUAAGGUGGAAGUUGCAGGUUCGAGCCCCGUCAGUCCCAUCCCAACAUAUAUGAAACAAAUUAAGAAGUUGAGUAUAAAUGUUAUAAUUUAGUGUUUUUUUUUCACAUUUCUCAAUGAGUGAAAAUGUUGGUGGGUUCUUAAGAAGAUGGCCUGCUGUUGCAACAGUUUCCUCGUUUGAGUUUGUGUUAUUAGCUUCAAGGUUGGUUAUAUUUCCAUGCAUUUUCCAUCCACUAUUCCCCUUAACUUUAGUAGUGUACAAAUUUCAUUGAGAACAAAACAUUUGGAAUGGAUCUUGAAUACUUUUCUUCUAACAUAAUUUUGAAUGUUGUACCUUUGGUUAUCAAUUAUUCUUCCAGAUUUGAAUUCUCGAAUUUGUAAUUCUAUAGUUUUAGUUUUUAUUCUGCACCCUCCAUCCAUUGCAAAGAUAUAUCCUUAAUAUGUGUUGUAGGUCCUUGUUUCUAAUGCAAGGAUUCUAUGCAAGCCCAUGCUCUUGGUAGGUACCUGUUGAGAAGAUACAUCAGUGGGACUGUUUUCCCUUAAUUUCCUCGUACAGAAAAACCGUUUCAGUUUGAGUUAUUUUUAAUUUGUAAUUCUUUGAAAAUUUUAGUUGUUGCGAAUUUUGUCCUAUCGGGUAUUUCUUUUAUUUGGUGAAGUGCCUUUUUCUUUUUUCCCCUACUCUAUAGAUCUCUUCUACUAAAGAGUGAGUAUGCGUGGAUUUUUAAUUACAACAAAGAACCUUACUUACAGAUUCCAUUUGCAGUUCUUUAGAAUCAUGUUGGUGAUUCGUAAGCAGUGGCACAACAGAUACUGAAUGAUGAAGACAGACAAAUUUAUCUCUAAGACAUCAAUUCUUCUAUAUGAUGGUCCAACCAAUUGGAACUAGUUCUGAUAGACACGGUAUUUGCCAUGAUGAAAAGGACUUUGCCGGCAUUUUUCCUUCAUCCUUGUUUGUUUAGUUACUGUUUCUUGUGAAAAAAAGAAAAACAGAACGAUCGAAGACUCUUGUAGAAUCAGUCUCUACUCCCAUAAAGGUGAAGCUCGAAUUCAUCGCGACAUGUAUACCCGCGUGAAUGGGCCAACACUUAAACAAAAUUGACAUCAAUAAUACAUGGGAAGAUCUUCAAGAAGGUAUACGUUGCUUCCCCUCCAUUGUUUCUGAAAAUAGUGACAAUACUGUUGGUUUUAUUUUCAAUCCUGCAUCUGUAUUCAAUUUGACCUUGAAAACUGCUGGGGGACAGCAUUUGAUUUCCUGGUACACUGGGAUAAUGCUUUGACUCCCUUUAGAGAGAGGAGUUUUUCUAGCGUUGAACUUAGGAAAGUUUAAAAUAUAUUCUUGGUCCCAAAUCCAUUCUUCCCUCCCUUCUCGAUUGCUAUAGGUGUUGCCCUCCAGCAUUUCCUUGAUUUAAUUGGGAAAUUUUGUGUUCCUUAAAAACUUCCUCCAGUUUAGAACUUCCUCGUGUCCAAAAGAAUUCGCACCUGUAAUUCUAUCAAAAUAUGUACGGGUAAAGGAUAGUUUUGACCGAAGAAAAAGCUUUUGGUAUUAAACAUCAAAA